rnacentral:rRNA from 1 species
AUUGAACGCUGGCGGCAUGCCUUACACAUGCAAGUCGAACGGCAGCACGGGAGCAAUCCUGGUGGCGAGUGGCGAACGGGUGAGUAAUGUAUCGGAACGUGCCCAGUCGUGGGGGAUAACGUAGCGAAAGCUACGCUAAUACCGCAUACGAUCUGUGGAUGAAAGCGGGGGACCGUAAGGCCUCGCGCGAUUGGAGCGGCCGAUAUCAGAUUAGGUAGUUGGUGGGGUAAAGGCCUACCAAGCCGACGAUCUGUAGCUGGUCUGAGAGGACGACCAGCCACACUGGGGCUGAGAAACGGCCCAGACUCCUACGGGAGGCAGCAGUGGGGAAUUUUGGACAAUGGGCGCAAGCCUGAUCCAGCAAUGCCGCGUGCAGGAUGAAGGCCUUCGGGUUGUAAACUGCUUUUGUACGGAGCGAAAAGGCUCUCUCUAAUACAGGGGGCUCAUGACGGUACCGUAAGAAUAAGCACCGGCUAACUACGUGCCAGCCGCCGCGGUAACAC